UCAUUUAGUAAUGCAGCUCUGGACACGGAGGUUAGAUCUAGAAGAAUCCAGAUCAUGGGAGUCUGAGAGGUCAGUGAGUUCAGUCUUGUGUAACCUGCAAUCUUCAAUCAAGAACAGGUGUGAAUUUCCCUGUCACAGUAUGGUGCCUUCACAUGCAGAUGAAUCAGAAACAGUACAUAUUGUCACACAUCACUGGGAGUAAGGAGACGAGGAGUCGAGGAGACGCAGGAGUAAACUCAAAAGACUUUAAUGAUAAAUCAAAAAGCAUGGAAUGUGGAGAACACUGAAUGACGUAAGACACCAGACGCUAGACUCAGGGAAACACAGGGCUUAAGAACACUGGAGAAAACGAGAUAAUUAAUAG